rnacentral:lncRNA from 1 species
AGCAAAGACAAUGAUCUUUGAUUUUAUUUUUGUCAUUUCUGAUAGUGGUAUUGUCUCAUAUCCAUUCAGUGAAAACAAAAUGGAUAGUCAACAAGAAAAUAAGAUAACUGGAGCAGUAGUAGUAAAUUUAGUUAUGGUCAAUGUUUACAUUUACUAAUAAAUUUAUACAAAUGUGCUUUAUCAGAAUUUUUUAAAAAACAGACUUACACAAUAAGCUCUCAGAUAAAUGAUUUUUACUCGCAACAUGAGUACAUGGCGAAAAAGGACAAUUAGGGUCUUCUCAGCUCUAAAUUCCAUGCAUGACAUUGAAGCCUGAACUACAGCUAAGAAGGAGGUUCUGACACUAUGAAUAUGGGGGAGACAUUCUGUCAAGUGCUUUAACUUCUGUGUUGCUCUUUUCUUAAUUUAAACAAUUCCUUCAGUUUGAUGAAAAAAGAAAAAAAAAAGUAGCAAAUUGUCAGUACCUUGAGCACACCAACAGACAUUAAUUGCUCUAAGCAGCCUGCCUCAUCAGGGACCUCCACACAUGCUUUCUGCUAGCUGUGACAGGAAGUCUAUGGAAGACCAGGCCUGGUGUUUCAGUCUCUGAAAUACAUGGGAGACAGUGAUGCUGACAACGUAACAUUUCAGAAAGAUGCAACAAGGUCUUCAGAGGAAAAGACUGCCUUCAGUUUCAUUGACGAAGCAGUGAAGAUCUUUCAGAACAGUUGUCCAUUCCAAAAAGCCAACAUCUCUUUUGCCUGUCCUGCUCCUGCUGCUAAAUUUUCAGUGCCACACAUACUCUCACUACAUAUUUAGACUAGCUGUGUUUCUUAAAGUACCUGCACUCUGUCCCUGCCAAAAUAUUACAUUAAUUCUUAUGGGAAAAAUUACUUUGCUACCAAGGAAUUGCUAACCAUCUCACUUUUAACAGACUCCAUUCUUCAUAGGGUGUGGCUGUUUAGCUAUGUAGAGUUUCUUAUAAAAAAUUCUGCAUAAAGGGGAGGGAUGUUUCUAACAACUUCCAUUGCCUUUAAAAUAAAUAAAUGUAUUUGUGUAUCCCA